rnacentral:rRNA from 1 species
UACGGGAGGCAGCAGUGAGGAAUAUUGGGCAAUGGAGGCAACUCUGACCCAGCCAUGCCGCGUGGAGGAUGACACAUUUCGGUGCGUAAACUCCUUUUAUAUGGGAAGAUAAUGACGGUAGCAUAUGAAUAAGCACCGGCUAACUCCGUGCCAGCAGCCGCGGUAAUACGGAGGGUGCAAGCGUUAUUCGGAAUCACUGGGCGUAAAGGACACGUAGGCGGGAAGCCAAGUCUGAUGUGAAAUCCUACAGCUUAACUGUAGAACUGCAUUGGAAACUGGUUACCUAGAGUAUGGGAGGGGGAGAUGGAAUUAGUGGUGUAGGGGUAAAAUCCGUAGAUAUCACUAGGAAUACCUAAAGCGAAGGCGAUCUCCUGGAACAAUACUGACGCUAAGGUGUGAAAGCGUGGGGAGCAAACGGGAUUAGAUACCCCGGUAGUCCACGCCCUAAACGAUGUUCACUAGUCGUCGGGAUGCUAGUCAUCUCGGUGAU